GAAAAACAAAGAAGAAACAAUGUUGAACGAGCAACAACAAGAGAAAACACUGUUAAUAAAAGCGGCACCACCGGUACGAAAGAAACUAGUUUCGAAGAAAACCAAAGAACCAAAACAACCAGAAUAUGAAAAUCCGACGAAGAAACGAAAAGAAACAGAACAAUCAGAAGAUGAAGAUUCAACCGCUAGCACAGCAAAAAUAGGAUUGCAACCUAGGUUUCUACUAGUUUUGUAUUGCUUGAAGUCUGUGCACAGAAUACAUAUUUUGAUUUGAUUUGUGCUCCGUAGCCAAGUGAAAUAUUGGAUCACAGGAUAAGAAGAAACGAAAAGAACGUGCAAACGAAGAAGAUUCAACCCCCAUUACUGUGAAGAAAGCCAAAUCAGAUUCAACAGAAAAAACAAGAUAUAGGUGCAAUUUUAGUGGCAAAUGUUACUUUGUGAAUAAAAUUUUUGAGAAGGAUGAAGAAAUCAGAAAGCAAGAAAAUAAAAAAAAAAAGACAGAUAAAAGUUUAGUGUGGUUCACUAAACUGCAGUUAGAGAAGCUUAUGGAUAGCCCAUUUUAGAAUGUACUAAAUUUUUUUAUUUUUGGAAGAAGAACGCAUAAAGAAGAUUGGUGGGGGGUUAAUGAUGCCAUAAUGAAAAUAGUGACAAGGUACAGCUCUGAUAUUGACGAAGAACAUGCUUUUGUUUUUCACGAUUCAGAAAACAAUCAUGUGAUUGUAAAAAGCUCAUCUGAAAAAUUAGCUUGUUUUUUUGGAUUGAAAAUUGUGGACUUUGGAAUCGAUUCAAGUAGAGUAUUACAAACGCCUUCUGAAAUAGUUUCCGAUUCAGUGGUAGAUAGGAUGCAAGCUUUGAUACCAGGUGACAAAGAUGAUUAUCAGAUGCAGAAAUCGUUAAUAGAGAAGUCGAUUCUACAUAUAAUGCGAGUCAAACCAGAAGAAAAAACUGAAAAAGAUGCAGAAGAUUUGGCAAAAUUAUUUACUCUUCACUUGUGCGUAACAGUUUUCUUCACUCAACUAAAUGGGUCCUUGAGUUAUAAACAGUUUGGCGGAUACUUUAAGACAUUGCACAAAAUGAAUAGAACCUGCUGGCCAGAUCUUAUACACUCUUAUCUCAUGGAAAGCAUAAGAGGUCACAUCGAUUCACCCGGGAAAGUUUCUGGAUGUGGGAUGUAUUUUUUGUAUUUGUUUGUUGAACAUUAUAAUGUUAUAAAACCAGACUACACUGGAUUGCCAAGGAUGGCGAAGUGGUCGGUGGCCAAUAUUGUUACUACAAUUGAAGAUGUGUGGGUGGAGCAAUGAAACAGAUGUCGCGGACAUUGGUAACACAUGAUAGGGGUGUAAAUAAUACCCGAAAAUACUCGGCCUGUCUGUAUCCGUCCGAGCCCGCCUGUACCCGAAGUAGUCCAAAGCCUGUUAUGACCCGUCAUGGACCACCCGGCCUGGCCUGAAUUA